AUUGAACGCUGGCGGCAUGCCUUACACAUGCAAGUCGAACGGUAGCACGGGAGCAAUCCUGGUGGCGAGUGGCGAACGGGUGAGUAAUAUAUCGGAACGUGCCCAGUCGUGGGGGAUAACGUAGCGAAAGCUACGCUAAUACCGCAUACGAUCUAUGGAUGAAAGCGGGGGAUCGCAAGACCUCGCGCGAUUGGAGCGGCCGAUAUUAGAUUAGCUAGUUGGUGGGGUAAAGGCUCACCAAGGCGACGAUCUGUAGCUGGUCUGAGAGGACGACCAGCCACACUGGAACUGAGACACGGUCCAGACUCCUACGGGAGGCAGCAGUGGGGAAUUUUGGACAAUGGGCGCAAGCCUGAUCCAGCAAUGCCGCGUGCAGGAUGAAGGCCUUCGGGUUGUAAACUGCUUUUGUACGGAACGAAACGGCUCCUUCUAAUACAAGGGGCUAAUGACGGUACCGUAAGAAUAAGCACCGGCUAACUACGUGCCAGCCGCCGCGGUAAAAC
rnacentral:rRNA from 1 species